GACGAACCGUGCGAACGUUGUUCGGAUUCACUGGGCUUAAAGGGCGCGUAGGCGGGCGGUCAAGUCGGGGGUGAAAUCUUUCAGCUUACCUGGAAAAGUGCCUCCGAUACUGAUCGCCUCGAGGGAGGUGAGGGGCAUGUGGAACUUCCGGUGGAGCGGUGAAAUGCGUAGAUAUCGGAAGGAACGCCGGUGGCGAAAGCGACGUGCUGGACCUCUUCUGACGCUGAGGCGCGAAAGCUAGGGGGAGCAAACGGG
rnacentral:rRNA from 1 species